rnacentral:rRNA from 1 species
CCUGUUUAUCAAAAACAUAGCCUCUUGAAAUCAUCUAUAAGAGGUUCAUCCUGCUCUAUGAUAUUUAUAUUAAAUGGCCGCGGUAUCCUGACCGUGCAAAGGUAGCAUAAUCAUUUGCCUCUUAAUUAGAGGCUAGUAUGAAUGGACACACGAAAUCUUCCCUGUCUCAUAAAUUUAAAUAAAAAUUUCUCUCUAAGUGAAGAAUCUUAGAUAAAGUUGAAAGACAAGAAGACCCUAAUGAGCUUUAAUUCUAUCUACACUUAACACACAAAAUUUAUAAUUAUCAACUUAAAUGUAUAGAAUUUUUGUUGGGGCGACAUAAGAAUUCCAAUGACUUCUUAAUAUUUAUAAAGAGUAAUAUCUCGAUUAAAUUGACCUAAUUUUAAUUAAUCAAUAGCACUAGCUACCAUAGGGAUAACAGACUAAUUUUUCUCCAGAGCCCAAAUUUACAGAAAAGAUUGGCACCUCGAUGUUGGCUUAGAGGCCCCUUAUGAUGCAGCAGUCAUAAACGGUGGGUUUGUUCAACCCUUAAAACUCUACGUGAUCUGAGUUCAGAC